rnacentral:rRNA from 1 species
UACGUAGGGGGCGAGCGUUGUCCGGAGUUAUUGGGCGUAAAGCGCACGCAGGCGGUCUUUUGCGUUCGGAGUGACAGUCGUCGGCUUAACUGACGAAGCGCUUGGAAAACGGGGAGACUUGAGAGCUCAAGAGGGACACGGAAUUCCGGGUGGAGUGGUGAAAUGCGUAGAUAUCCGGAGGAACACCAAAGGCGUAGGCAGUGUCCUGGGGAGUUUCUGACGCUCAGGUGCGAAAGCUAGGGGAGCGAACGGG